rnacentral:rRNA from 1 species
AGAGUUUGAUCCUGGCUCAGGACGAACGGCUGGCGGCGUGCUUAACACAUGCAAGUCGACGGAAAGGCCCUGCUUUUGUGGGGUGCUCGAGUGGCGAACGGGUGAGUAACACGUGAGUAACCUGCCCUUGACUUUGGGAUAACUUCAGGAAACUGGGGCUAAUACCGGAUAGGAGCUCCUGCUGCAUGGUGGGGGUUGGAAAGUUUCGGCGGUUGGGGAUGGACUCGCGGCUUAUCAGCUUGUUGGUGGGGUAGUGGCUUACCAAGGCUUUGACGGGUAGCCGGCCUGAGAGGGUGACCGGCCACAUUGGGACUGAGAUACGGCCCAGACUCCUACGGGAGGCAGCAGUGGGGAAUAUCGCACAAUGGGCGGAAGCCUGAUGCAGCAACGCCGCGUGCGGGAUGACGGCCUUCGGGUUGUAAACCGCUUUCGCCUGUGACGAAGCGUGAGUGACGGUAAUGGGUAAAGAAGCACCGGCUAACUACGUG